GCCUGGAGUCAAGACACCCACUGAUGGGGGACACCACCAGCUGGACAGCUGCUCAGAGUCCCUAUCAGCUGAAAGCAGAGCAUCGAACAAACUCUUGUUGCUGACAGUUUCACCUCCUGGGAGAUUGAGCAACGGACAAGAAGGAUUGCUACUCUUGAGUUCAUUGCAACCAAGAAGAAGCAACUGUUUGGUGAGGGAGCAGGAUGGGACCCUGGUGAGUCAGAAGAUGUGGAAACUGAGGCUGAGAGAGAGAAAUGAAGUUGCCUAGAUGAUAGACGUGGUUCUUCCUGAGAGCCCUUCCUCGUUCACUCACCUGUGUAAACUCCUGUAUCAGCUUCUGCUUCAAGGGGACCCAACCCAAGACAGGUAUUAAAAGUCACAGUUCGGAUCACAAGCUGGCUGUCAAUCCAUCGAUGCAG